rnacentral:rRNA from 1 species
AAUCAACGCUGGCGGCGUGCCUAACACAUGCAAGCCGAACGAGAAAGUGGAGCAAUCCAUGAGUACAGUGGCGAACGGGUGAGUAACACGUGACUAACCUACCUUCCAAUGGGGGAUAACCUCGGGAAACCGGGGCUAAGACCGCAUAACCUCGUGAGGUGAGAUUCCUUGCGAGCAAAGGGGUAAGACGCUGGAUGAGGGGGUCGCGGCCGAUUAGCUAGUUGGCGGGGUAACGGCCCACCAAGGCGAUGAUCGGUAGCCGGCCUGAGAGGGCGCACGGCCACACUGGAACUGAAACACGGUCCAGACUCCUACGGGAGGCAGCAGUGGGGAAUUUUGCACAAUGGGGGAAACCCUGAUGCAGCAACGCCGCGUGGAGGAUGAAGUCCCUUGGGACGUAAACUCCUUUCGACCGGGACGAUAAUGACGGUACCGGUGGAAGAAGCCCCGGCUAACUCCGUGCCAGCAGCCGCCGCGG